UAGGAAUCUUCCACAAUGGGCGAAAGCCUGAUGGAGCGACGCCGCGUGAGGGAUGAAGGCCUUAGGGUUGUAAACCUCUAAAAGAGGGACGAUAAUGACGGUACCUCUUGAAUAGCACCGGCUAACUCCGUGCCAGCAGCCGCGGUAAUACGGAGGGUGCAAGCGUUAUCCGGAAUCACUGGGCGUAAAGGGCGCGUAGGCGGUCUGUUAAGUCCGAUGUUAAAUCCCGGGGCUCAACCCCGGAUAAGCGUUGGAUACUGGCAGGCGAGACGGUUGGAGAGGCGAGUGGAAUUACCAGUGUAGCGGUGGAAUGCGUAGGUACUGGUAGGAACACCCAGUGCGAAGGCAGCUCGCUGGACAACACGUGACGCUGAGGCGCGAAAGUGUGGGGAGCAAACC
rnacentral:rRNA from 1 species